AGUGAACGCUGGCGGCGUGCCUAAUACAUGCAAGUCGAACGGAGUGGCGCACGGGUGAGUAAUGUAUAGCUAAUCUGCACUACACUAGCGGAAAACGGUUGGAAAAGACUGCUAAUACUCUAUAGUGUAGGAUGAGGCUAUAUUGUCUCAUCUAGCUAGUGAGGUAAGGGCUCACAAAGGCUAUGACGCAUAACUGGUCUGAGAGUAUGAUCAGUCACACUGUAACUGAGACACGGGCCAGACACCUCCGGUAGGCAGCAGUAGGGAGUAUUGCUAAAUGGGGGAAACCCUGAAGCAGCAACGCCUCGUGGAGGAUGACAGUUUUCGGAGCGUAAACUCCUUAUGUUAGGGAAGCGGUACCUAACGAAUAAGCCCCGGCUAACUCCGUGCCAGCAGCCGCGGUAAUAC
rnacentral:rRNA from 1 species